rnacentral:rRNA from 1 species
GGCGGGACACGUGGUAUCCUGUCUGAAUAUGGGGGGACCAUCCUCCAAGGCUAAAUACUCCUGACUGACCGAUAGUGAACCAGUACCGUGAGGGAAAGGCGAAAAGAACCCCGGCGAGGGGAGUGAAAAAGAACCUGAAACCGUGUACGUACAAGCAGUGGGAGCCUCUUUAUGGGGUGACUGCGUACCUUUUGUAUAAUGGGUCAGCGACUUAUAUUCUGUAGCAAGGUUAACCGAAUAGGGGAGCCGAAGGGAAACCGAGUCUUAACUGGGCGUUAAGUUGCAGGGUAUAGACCCGAAACCCGGUGAUCUAGCCAUGGGCAGGUUGAAGGUUGGGUAACACUAACUGGAGGACCGAACCGACUAAUGUUGAAAAAUUAGCGGAUGACUUGUGGCUGGGGGUGAAAGGCCAAUCAAACCGGGAGAUAGCUGGUUCUCCCCGAAAGCUAUUUAGGUAGCGCCUCGUGAAUUCAUCUCCGGGGGUAGAGCACUGUUUCGGCAAGGGGGUCAUCCCGACUUACCAACCCGAUGCAAACUGCGAAUACCGGAGAAUGUUAUCACGGGAGACACACGGCGGGUGCUAACGUCCGUCGUGAAGAGGGAAACAACCCAGACCGCCAGCUAAGGUCCCAAAGUCAUGGUUAAGUGGGAAACGAUGUGGGAAGGCCCAGACAGCCAGGAUGUUGGCUUAGAAGCAGCCAUCAUUUAAAGAAAGCGUAAUAGCUCACUGGUCGAGUCGGCCUGCGCGGAAGAUGUAACGGGGCUAAACCAUGCACCGAAGCUGCGGCAGCGACACUAUGUGUUGUUGGGUAGGGGAGCGUUCUGUAAGCCUGUGAAGGUGUACUGUGAGGUAUGCUGGAGGUAUCAGAAGUGCGAAUGCUGACAUAAGUAACGAUAAAGCGGGUGAAAAGCCCGCUCGCCGGAAGACCAAGGGUUCCUGUCCAACGUUAAUCGGGGCAGGGUGAGUCGACCCCUAAGGCGAGGCCGAAAGGCGUAGUCGAUGGGAAACAGGUUAAUAUUCCUGUACUUGGUGUUACUGCGAAGGGGGGACGGAGAAGGCUAUGUUGGCCGGGCGACGGUUGUCCCGGUUUAAGCGUGUAGGCUGGUUUUCCAGGCAAAUCCGGAAAAUCAAGGCUGAGGCGUGAUGACGAGGCACUACGGUGCUGAAGCAACAAAUGCCCUGCUUCCAGGAAAAGCCUCUAAGCAUCAGGUAACAUCAAAUCGUACCCCAAACCGACACAGGUGGUCAGGUAGAGAAUACCAAGGCGCUUGAGAGAACUCGGGUGAAGGAACUAGGCAAAAUGGUGCCGUAACUUCGGGAGAAGGCACGCUGAUAUGUAGGUGAAGCGACUUGCUCGUGGAGCUGAAAUCAGUCGAAGAUACCAGCUGGCUGCAACUGUUUAUUAAAAACACAGCACUGUGCAAACACGAAAGUGGACGUAUACGGUGUGACGCCUGCCCGGUGCCGGAAGGUUAAUUGAUGGGGUUAGCGGUAACGCGAAGCUCUUGAUCGAAGCCCCGGUAAACGGCGGCCGUAACUAUAACGGUCCUAAGGUAGCGAAAUUCCUUGUCGGGUAAGUUCCGACCUGCACGAAUGGCGUAAUGAUGGCCAGGCUGUCUCCACCCGAGACUCAGUGAAAUUGAACUCGCUGUGAAGAUGCAGUGUACCCGCGGCAAGACGGAAAGACCCCGUGAACCUUUACUAUAGCUUGACACUGAACAUUGAGCCUUGAUGUGUAGGAUAGGUGGGAGGCUUUGAAGUGUGGACGCCAGUCUGCAUGGAGCCGGCCUUGAAAUACCACCCUUUAAUGUUUGAUGUUCUAACGUUGGCCCCUGAUCGGGGUUGCGGACAGUGUCUGGUGGGUAGUUUGACUGGGGCGGUCUCCUCCUAAAGAGUAACGGAGGAGCACGAAGGUUGGCUAAUCCUGGUCGGACAUCAGGAGGUUAGUGCAAUGGCAUAAGCCAGCUUGACUGCGAGCGUGACGGCGCGAGCAGGUGCGAAAGCAGGUCAUAGUGAUCCGGUGGUUCUGAAUGGAAGGGCCAUCGCUCAACGGAUAAAAGGUACUCCGGGGAUAACAGGCUGAUACCGCCCAAGAGUUCAUAUCGACGGCGGUGUUUGGCACCUCGAUGUCGGCUCAUCACAUCCUGGGGCUGAAGUAGGUCCCAAGGGUAUGGCUGUUCGCCAUUUAAAGUGGUACGCGAGCUGGGUUUAGAACGUCGUGAGACAGUUCGGUCCCUAUCUGCCGUGGGCGCUGGAGAACUGAGGGGGGCUGCUCCUAGUACGAGAGGACCGGAGUGGACGCAUCACUGGUGUUCGGGUUGUCAUGCCAAUGGCACUGCCCGGUAGCUAAAUGCGGAAGAGAUAAGUGCUGAAAGCAUCUAAGCACGAAACUUGCCCCGAGAUGAGUUCUCCCUGAGACUUAGAGUCUCCUGAAGGAACGUUGAAGACGACGACGUUGAUAGGCCGGGUGUGUAAGCGCAGCGAUGCGUUGAGCUAACCGGUACUAAUGAACCGUGAGGCUUAACCUUACAACGCCGAAG